AUCUUUUUCUAGAGAUCACUCUCUUUGGAGUUUUUCUGUGAGCCUAAGACUGGAAUAGGGAAGUAAUUGUCCCCCUGUACUCAACACUGGUGAGGCCGCACCUCGAGUACUGUGUCCAGUUUUGGGCCCCUCACUGUAAGAAAGACAUCGAGGCCCUGGAGCACGUCCAGAGGAGGGCAACAAAGCUAGUGAGGUGUCUGGAGCACAGGCCUUAUUAGGAGCGGUUGAGGGAGCUGGGAUUGUUCAGUCUGGAGGAGAGGAGGCUCAGGGGAGACCUUAUUGCUCUCUAGAACUACCUGAAGGGAGGGUGUAGCGAGCUGGGGGUCAGCCUCUUCUCUCGGGUGACUAGUGAUAGGACUAGAAGGAAUGGAUUCAAACUGCGCCAGGGGAGGCUCAGGCUGGACGUUAGGAAAUACUACUUAUCUGAAAGGGUGGUCAGGCACUGGAAUGGGCUGCCCAGAGAGGUGGUGGAGUCACCGACCCUGUUGGUGUUCAAAGAGCGUUUGGAUGUUGUGUUGAGGGACAUGGUUUAGCGAGAACCAUUGGUGAUGGGUGGGUGGAUGGACUGGAUGAUCCUGUGGGUCUUUUCCAACCUUAGUGAUUCUAUGAUUCUCCUAAUCAAAUUACUCACCCUAUGAUAUAGAAAACAAACUAUUUUAAAGUUAUCAGACUUAUGAGCUGGAGCUUGCUAAUCUCAUAUUUUAUUUCUUACUCUGGUUUACCAUCAUAUUAGAACUCAAAACAUUAAAUUUACUUCACCUGUGAAGGUUAGUAAUAUCUUUCAGCUGUAACAUGGUGCUAAAGAUUUAGGAGUUGUAAAUCACCCAGCCUACCUUUCUUGUGCCUAUGCUUUUCUGGAAGCCUCCUCAGAAAGAUGUGGAAAAUAAUUCUGAAGUGUUUACUUUUUAUUUGGAGUAGAGGAUUCAAAAGAUGAAAUUGCUUAGUCCUGGGUAUGUCAUGUGACUUCCCAUAUCAUUUAUGGGCAAAUGAAGCAUAUAUCUGAUGGUGUCUCAUGAAGCUUUCUCUAAAAUAUAGUUACUUGAAGUGUCAACAGUAAUGUAAGCAGAAAAAUAAUUAAAUGCAAAUUAUGCAGUACUACUGGACAAAACUUAAAAUGUUUUGCUAAUUCACUAACUACAAUGGAAAUGAUACAAGGCAAAUUGUGUUUUGGCUAAAUUCAUGUUUAUCAUGGCAUAAUAAUAAAAUGGCAAAGACCCCAGGCCUGGACACAGUACUGCAGGUGGUGUUUCAUAAGUGCAGAUGAGAGAGAGAGUCAUCUCCCUUGACCUUCUAGCUAUGCUUCUCUUGAUGCAGACCAGGGUACAGUUGAAUUUCUGAACUGCAAGCACACACUGCUGGCUCCUGUUGAGCUUUACUUCGAUUAAUAUAACCAAGUCUUUUUGCCACAGGGCUACUCUCUAUCCAAUAGUUGCCCUGCCUUUAUUCAUGUUUGGGAUUGUCCUCUCUGAGGUGCAGGACUUUUCACUUGCUCUUGUUUAUCCACAUGUUGUUCGCAAAGGCUCAUAUCUCAAGCCUGUCAAGGUCCGUCUGGAUGGCACUCCUUACCUCCAGCAUGUCCACUGCAUCACUCAGCUUGGUGUCAUCAGCUGAGUGUUAUUGUAAACACAAAUUAGCUUAUGCAAUUUAAAAAAAAUGUUAAGAUUUCCUGUCUUGUUGUUUUGGUAACAGCACAGAUUUUUCUCAGCUUGUUUCAGACUUUGAGGAAAAACAAUGUGAUUUCUGAUAAUUCUUUUUAAGUGAGAGAAAGGGACUGUCGAAAAUGUUUGCCUUUUUGCUAGAGGAUAAAUUUGUCAUAUGCAGUACUCCAGCACUAAAAACAUUAACUAAUUCUGCUUGCCAGGAGUAGGAGGCUUUACAGAACAAAUCACAUUGUUGCAUCUUGAGGUUCAUUAACCAAAGCUGAUGUGCAAAUUAAUUCAAAAGUUAGCUUCCACUCUUUUUUUCUCCUUUUUCUUUGCUGACUUGUUGUGGGUUUUUUGUGAUACAAAACUAUACUUCAGAUUUCAUUGACUGAGUGCAUUUAAAGCUAUAGCUAAACUAAUAAUUCAAGUAACAAGAUGUUGUGGAUUUAGAAACAACUCAUAGUUUUUGUCUCUAUUGCCAGCGAAUCUUUCUCUCCUAAAAGCGAUGAAAAAAUACUUGAAACUCGAGAAGAAUGCAAGUCAUAAAUUAGAAACACAGAAAAUCACUAAGUCAUAAAAACCCCCAGUGAUCCAGUAAUUAAUUUCUUCUCAAGUCAGUUUUAAAUGUGUGUGAUGUUUUUGGAGGUAGGGGGAAAAUAGGAGCCCUUCUAGACUUCUUUCAGCAGGUUUGAAUAUGUCCUUAAAGCACUGUGAAUGGCAGAGCAUGGUAAAACAUUAUAUUCACUAGAGUAUGUGGAGUGGGGCAAGAUAUUUUCUGUAAAUAAGUAGUGCAUUAUACCUAUACACAAUUAGAUAAAUAUGCACUGCUUUGCUGAAAGACAGAAAAAUUGAGUCUUGGGGUAUGUUAAUUUAUUUUGUAUCUACUGUCAGAAGAGGGUUUGAGUGAAAACUUUCUUGAUUAAUAUCUACAACAAAUGACUAAUCUACUUCCUAUUAUGUCGUAAAGUUGAAAAGACUCUACAGUGGAUUUAGUAAUUGUCUUACUUUCACCUGGGAUGGAACUGUUUUCUUUAGAGGGUCUGGUAUGAUGAUAUGUUUUUGGAUUGAGGAGAAAAAUAAACAUUGGUGUGUU
rnacentral:lncRNA from 1 species